rnacentral:rRNA from 2 species
CCGUAGCGCCGAUGGUAGUGUGGGGUCUCCCCAUGUGAGAGUAGGGAACUGCCAGGC